rnacentral:rRNA from 1 species
UUGAACGCUGGCGGCAGGCCUAACACAUGCAAGUCGAGCGGUAGCACAGAGAGCUUGCUCUCGGGUGACGAGCGGCGGACGGGUGAGUAAUGUCUGGGAAACUGCCUGAUGGAGGGGGAUAACUACUGGAAACGGUAGCUAAUACCGCAUAAUGUCGCAAGACCAAAGUGGGGGACCUUCGGGCCUCAUGCCAUCAGAUGUGCCCAGAUGGGAUUAGCUAGUAGGUGGGGUAACGGCUCACCUAGGCGACGAUCCCUAGCUGGUCUGAGAGGAUGACCAGCCACACUGGAACUGAGACACGGUCCAGACUCCUACGGGAGGCAGCAGUGGGGAAUAUUGCACAAUGGGCGCAAGCCUGAUGCAGCCAUGCCGCGUGUGUGAAGAAGGCCUUCGGGUUGUAAAGCACUUUCAGCGGGGAGGAAGGCGUUAAGGUUAAUAACCUUGGCGAUUGACGUUACCCGCAGAAGAAGCACCGGCUAACUCCGUGCCAGCAGCCGCGGUAAUACGGAGGGUGCAAGCGUUAAUCGGAAUUACUGGGCGUAAAGCGCACGCAGGCGGUCUGUCAAGUCGGAUGUGAAAUCCCCGGGCUCAACCUGGGAACUGCAUUCGAAACUGGCAGGCUAGAGUCUUGUAGAGGGGGUAGAAUUCCAGGUGUAGCGGUGAAAUGCGUAGAGAUCUGGAGGAAUACCGGUGGCGAAGGCGGCCCCCUGGACAAAGACUGACGCUCAGGUGCGAAAGCGUGGGGAGCAAACAGGAUUAGAUACCCUGGUAGUCCACGCCGUAAACGAUGUCGAUUUGGAGGUUGUGCCCUUGAGGCGUGGCUUCCGGAGCUAACGCGUUAAAUCGACCGCCUGGGGAGUACGGCCGCAAGGUUAAAACUCAAAUGAAUUGACGGGGGCCCGCACAAGCGGUGGAGCAUGUGGUUUAAUUCGAUGCAACGCGAAGAACCUUACCUGGUCUUGACAUCCACAGAACUUUCCAGAGAUGGAUUGGUGCCUUCGGGAACUGUGAGACAGGUGCUGCAUGGCUGUCGUCAGCUCGUGUUGUGAAAUGUUGGGUUAAGUCCCGCAACGAGCGCAACCCUUAUCCUUUGUUGCCAGCGGUUAGGCCGGGAACUCAAAGGAGACUGCCAGUGAUAAACUGGAGGAAGGUGGGGAUGACGUCAAGUCAUCAUGGCCCUUACGACCAGGGCUACACACGUGCUACAAUGGCAUAUACAAAGAGAAGCGACCUCGCGAGAGCAAGCGGACCUCAUAAAGUAUGUCGUAGUCCGGAUUGGAGUCUGCAACUCGACUCCAUGAAGUCGGAAUCGCUAGUAAUCGUAGAUCAGAAUGCUACGGUGAAUACGUUCCCGGGCCUUGUACACACCGCCCGUCACACCAUGGGAGUGGGUUGCAAAAGAAGUAGGUAGCUUAACCUUCGGGAGGGCGCUUACCACUUUGUGAUUCAUGACUGGGGUG